GACGAACGCUGGCGGCGUGCCUAAUACAUGCAAGUCGAGCGGACUGAAUGGGAGCUUGCUCUUGUUCGGUCAGCGGCGGACGGGUGAGUAACACGUGGGCAACCUGCCCGCAAGACCGGGAUAACUCCGGGAAACCGGAGCUAAUACCGGAUAACACCAAAGACCGCAUGGUCUUUGGUUGAAAGGCGGCGCAAGCUGCCACUUGCGGAUGGGCCCGCGGCGCAUUAGCUAGUUGGUGAGGUAACGGCUCACCAAGGCGACGAUGCGUAGCCGGCCGGAGGGGGUGACCGGCCACACUGGGACUGAGACACGGCCCAGACUCCUACGGGAGGCAGCAGUAGGGAAUCUUCCGCAAUGGGCGAAAGCCUGACGGAGCGACGCCGCGUGAGCGAAGAAGGCCUUCGGGUCGGAAAGCUCUGUUGUGAGGGACGAAGGAGCGCCGUUUGAAGAAGGCGGCGCGGUGACGGUACCUCACGAGGAAGCCCCGGCUAACUACGUG
rnacentral:rRNA from 1 species